rnacentral:lncRNA from 1 species
GAGAUGGACACAGAACAAAGUAGAAAUCAUGUUACAGGGUCUGGUUGCAGAAGGAAGGAAGAACAAGCCAUCGCCAUGGCAUGCACACAAAGAAGGAUCCACAUGGGAGCUAAGAAAAUCCCCAUCUCCCACGUGCAAUAGCCCAAAGGCACGAAAUUAGCAACCGGAGCUAGCAAUGCUAAUGCCGAGCAAGAAGAUCUCCAUGUAUGCUUAAUUACAAAGAAAUCAUUGCUUAUGCUUAGACUUCAAAACUAAUUUACGAAUUGAAAUUUCACCAAAAAAUGAAUUGAAAGCAAACAUCAUUACGGAUUAUACAUUUGGUGAAAACUUGAGGCCAUCGGACCUGAAAAAAAUCUUCAUGUAAGUGUUAUUCUAUUUGCUUCUUGUGUUUACAAUGGUCUUUGUGUAGUUUGUGUACGAUUAAUGUGGAGUUUGAAUAUCAUCCCACGUUGUGCCCUUUUGCU